UUCUAGCCCCGAUUGCAGCGGCAUCCUUUUUUGAGGAGGCACGACGAAAAAAAAGAUACAGCGGAAAGCGGGAACCCAU
rnacentral:sRNA from 2 species